UUUUACAGUUGAGAAGGUUAUUACUGCGUGCCAUACUCAUCGACAACUGACUUUCAAGGAAAGAUAAUGAUAGAUUUGUGGACACUUUUUCUUGCCUGUGCGGUUAUUAUUUUGUGCGUGUGGUGGAGGAAAACCUCUAGGGACUCCUCCUUACCCCCGGGUCCACCCACUAUUCCUUUCCUAGGAAAUCUACUCUCUGUGUCUCCUGAUACUAUGUUAGAGAAUUUCCAGACUUACAGAAAAAAGUAUGGGGAUGUUUUCAGCUUGAUUACAGGUACCAGAACAAUGGUUGUUGUGAACGGAAUGGACACCAUUCGAGAUAUUUUCAUUAAGCAUGGGGACAUCGUUUCCGAAAGGCCAGAUCUUUUUGUAACCAAAGUAAUAACCAAGUAUAAAGGUGUCAUCCUUUCCUCGGGAGAAUUUUGGAAAGAGCACAGAACAUUCAGUCUAAAUGCUCUCAGAGAGUUUGGAUUUGGAAAACGAAGCUUGGAAUCUAAAAUAUUGGAGGAGGUGGAUGUUUUUGUCAACGAAGUUCAGUCAACAAAUGGACAACCAUUCAAUAUGCAAGCUUUGAUAACUGUAUGCGUCUCAAAUAUCAUGUGUUCCAUUAACUUUGGUAAAAGAUUUGAACAUAGCGACAAAAAUUUUAUGUCACUCAUCGAAGCAAUAAACGAAAACUUAAGCAAUGGAAAUAUGAUGUUUCUAGCGAGCUUUCUUCCGUUUUUGAGGUAUUUUCCAGGUGAUCCAUUAAAGAUUAGAAAAGUAUUGAAGAAUGUUGAUUUGGUGGAAAAGUAUCUUUUAAAAAUUAUCAGCGAUCACAAAGAAAGCUUUGAUGAAAACAAUCUUAGAGAUUUCAUCGAUGUGUAUUUGAAGAAAAUGAAAUCGGAAGAGAGCAACCCAAACACGACCUUUGAUGAUGAACAGUUGGUGAAGCUUUUGUUAGAUUUCUUUGCUGCUGGAACGGAAACAACAUCUACAGCUCUUAGGUGGUUUGCUGUUUUUAUGAUCAGAAACCCGGAAGUGCAAGAAAAAAUGCGAAUCGAAAUCAAUGACGUCAUAGGAAAUUCCAGGUACCCUACAAUGGAGGACAGGCCAAAUCUACCCUACACAGAGGCAGUUCUUCAUGAGGUUCUUCGUAUUGGAUGUGUCGUCCCUUUAUCUCUCCCUCAUGGAUUAAAAACUGAUUUAAAAUACAAAGAAUUUAUUAUUCCGAAAGAUGUUAUUUUAAUUCCUAAUCUAUAUUCUGUACUUUUUGACCCAGACGUGUUUGAAGAUCCGGAAGUCUUCCGACCUGAGAGAUUCUUGGAUGGUGAGGGAAAAUUGAUUAACACAGACAAAGUCUUGACAUUCUCACUUGGUCGUCGUGUUUGUCUUGGCGAAUCCUUGGCCAGGAUGGAAUUGUUUCUGUUUGCUUCAUCCAUGAUGCAGCGAUUUAAAAUCCUUCCUGCUGACCCCAAACAGAUACCACCAUUAAAAGGGGUUCUCGGGGUGACUUAUGGUCCAAAAGAUGUCUUAUUAAAGGCAACCAGUGUUUAGUUGUUUAAUUUCUUGACUAAAUGUAUGAAAUGCACAAAUUUCAUAUUUUCCAUCAAUCAGUCGAUUUCUUUUUGAAACAUUUAAAGUAAUAAGAGCACAAGUAUUAGUUAACUAAAUAAUGAAAUGCAUGUCAGUUAUUCCCUAGGCAUAAGAUUAACAGUUAUUCAUUGGCACCAUGCGCUCUUAAUUGAAGUGGCCUAUUUUAGCUAAGUUAGCCACCCUUUUGCUUCACACAUUCGUUAGAUAAAAUAACAUUAACAAAACUAUAGGUUUCACAUAUUUCAUAAAGUAAUCUCUUGAGUUGUCACUUUUAACUAUAACCUUGUCUUACAAGUAUCAAAAAUGAUACAUGUACAAUAGUCCCCUAGCCAAUUAUUUUCUUUAAUAAAGCAGUAAGCGUUCAUUAAUUCACAUGAUAAGAAUGUUCAACGAUCGAUGACCGGCAUUCUUUAGUAUUUUCACUGCAAUGUACGAUUCAUUUCCAUAAAGAUACAAAAUUUAAUUUACUGUCAGGCAAUUUUAACUCACCUCAACGAAGACGAAAUGAGCUUAUGCUAUACCUAUGGCGUCGGCUUUAACGUUGGCGUCCCGGUUUAAGGUCCAUUCCCAAGUAACUAUUAGCCAAUGCUGACCAAACUUGCAUGAUUGAUGCAUCUAGCGGUGUACACCACUAGACUUGCUUCGGAUGCGGUAUCUGACGAUAUAUUUUCUAGAUGAAAGAAGGAGUAGGUCCAUUCCCAAGUAACUAUUAGCCAAAUGCUGACCAGACUUGCAUGAUUGAUGCAUCUAGCGGUGCACACCACUAGACUUGCUUCGGAUGCGGUAUCUGACGAUAUAUUUUCCAGAUGAAAGAAGGAGUAGGUCCAUUCUCAAGAAAUUACAUAUAUGAGCCCAAUGGAGACAAAACGUGCAGGUUGAUGCUUCAUCUAAGUAUGCACAUUUACCAGAUCUGUGUUUGGAACAGGCCCAUUCCCAAGUAACUGUGAGCCCUUAUGGUUAUUUUCAUUCAUAUUUCGAAUCUCAAUAUAUCCUAGUGAAUUCGAAAUAAAAGACACCACAGUAUGCUAGAUCUAUUUCAUACCUGAAUGCUUUACUGACUACAGAAGAUAAUGGCCAAUGAAUAACUAAACUGUUUGACACACGGGAUGACUUCAGCUGUUCUAUCGCCAACUUUACUUAUGUUUGUAGUCAUAUUCCAAAACCUGCAUAUGCUUUCUAUAUCUCCAAAUUUAUUCGACACUUAAGAGCAUGUUCUCAGCACGAACAUUUUUUAACUGAAACAUGCUACUGACAAGUAAGUUGAUUUUACAGGGAUUUCAACAACCUCAUUUAAAGUCAGCGUUCCCCGAAUUCUACGGUCGUGAUAAUGACCUUGUUUGCAAAUACAACCACUCUUUGGGUAGUAUUUUGUCUGAGACGUUUCAUAUCAAUUGUUAGGUCAAUGCUUGUUUACCAUAUUUGUCUACGGAUUACUUUUUUUUAUUUGAACAUACUUUAUUAUGUAAUGGAAUAUAAAUGGAUUGGGAAGCAGACAUUGCCUAUAUAAGCCCUCUCCAUGAUUACUACGGAGUACUCCGUCCCCCUAAUCAGUACAUAGGGCUCACGACGGGUGUGACCGGUCAUCAGAGGACGCUUAGGACGGGUGUGACCGGUCAUCAGAGGACGCUUACUCCUCCUGGGUACUUGAUCCGACUUCUGAUGAUUCUAGUGCUCUGUGUUUUUGCUCUAUUCACGAUUUGAAUUUUUUAUUGCGUUUCUGAGAUUGUUCACUGCUCGUCACUGUUCCACACCUUUUAACAUUCAUUCCCAAGUAACGAUAAGCCCUAUGAUGACAAAAAUUGGAUGGAUGAUGCAUCUAGAAAUGUGCACUACCAGAAUUUGUUUUUCAUGUGAGUCUUUGCUUUACCAAUAUAACUUUCGUUGAGGUUAGCUUUGUAAUCUUUGAUUACCUAUUAUUCAUUAUUUAGCUUUGUAAUCUUUGAUUACCUAUUAUUCAGUAUUUAGCUUUGUAAUCUUUGAUUACCUAUUAUUCAGUAUUUAGCUUUGUAAUCUUUGAUUACCUAUUAUUCAUUAUUUAGC